AGCGAUACUACAGGUCGAAGAAUUCAAAAACGAUAUACGAUAACACGAUAAGAAAUAAAACAACAUGGCCACCCUCCAGAAUCGCGAUAAGUUGUGUAGCUAUGUGGACUCAAUAAAACUGGUAUAUGAUAA